rnacentral:rRNA from 1 species
UACGUAGGUGGCAAGCGUUGUCCGGAAUUAUUGGGCGUAAAGCGCGCGCAGGCGGUCCUUUAAGUCUGAUGUGAAAGCCCACGGCUCAACCGUGGAGGGUCAUUGGAAACUGGGGGACUUGAGUGCAGGAGAGGGAAGCGGAAUUCCCGGUGUAGUGGUGAAAUGCGUAGAUAUCGGGAGGAACACCAGUGGCGAAGGCGGCUUCCUGGCCUGUUCUUGACGCUGAGGCGCGAAAGCUAGGGGAGCAAACGGG